AUAGGUAAAGAAAACCAGUAGGAAGCAAAGAUGAGCUUCGAGAUGAAAGAUAACAAAUUGACAAACCUAGAAACUUCAUUCUAACCACACCUUAUCCAACUUUUCAAGAUCCAAACCUUAAAAAAAAUUCAAUACAAGGUGUGAAAUGAUACUUGCCAUCCUUAGACUUUCCAAUAUUACCUACAAUACAAGAUAUACACUGCUGAGAAAUGUAUUCAUGAAUUGCGUUGCUUUCAAAUUAAAUGAAGUAUUUUUUUGUAUAACAUUUACCAUUCAUAGUAUAUAUUAUAUACCAUACCCUAUGAGUAAGUGGAAAAUUUUUUAUCAGACUCCAUGUCAAUGGAAUCUUCCCUGCAUCAUUGUUCUGCCUGCAGUAAUAUGUUCAGUUUUUUUUCACUUAUUAAUUAAGAUAUUAAUGUUGAACACAGAGGGUUAAUUAACUACUUAAUUAUAAUUAUUAGGAAUUCUAUGAUGAGGACAAAAGUGCUUACUUUUUUUGCUUCAAGAAGUUUCUGGUCAUUAUUAAGUAGAGUACUUGAAAAUCCAAGUAAGAACACUAGGAGGCAAAAAAAAGAAAACUAGGAGCACCCUUAACUAAAACAAAAA
rnacentral:lncRNA from 1 species